GGGCCCGCACAAGCGGUGGAGCAUGUGGUUUAAUUCGAUGAUACGCGAGGAACCUUACCAGGGCUUAAAUGUAAGUUGCAUAAGCUAGAGAUAGCUUUUUCUUCGGACUACUUACAAGGUGCUGCAUGGUUGUCGUCAGCUCGUGCCGUGAGGUGUCAGGUUAAGUCCUAUAACGAGCGCAACCCCCAUCGUUAGUUGCCAGCGAGUAAUGUCGGGAACUCUAACAAGACUGCCGGUGCAAACCGUGAGGAAGGUGGGGAUGACGUCAAAUCAUCACGGCCCUUACGUCCUGGGCUACACACGUGCUACAAUGGUCGGUACAGAGAGCAGCCACUACGCGAGUAGGAGCAAAUCCACAAAACCGGGCCCAGUUCGGAUUGGAGUCUGCAACUCGACUCCAUGAAGUUGGAAUCGCUAGUAAUGGC
rnacentral:rRNA from 1 species